rfam:Picea glauca, whole genome shotgun sequence.
UACCUGGUUGAUCCUACCAGUAGUCAUAUGCGUGUCUCGAAGAUUAAGCCAUGCAUGUCUAAGUAUGAACUAAUUCAAACUAUGAAACUGCGGAUGGCUCAUUAAAUCAGUUAUAUUUUCUUUGAUGGUACCCUACUACUCGGAUAACCGUAGUAAUUAUAGAUUUAAUACAUGCACCAAGUUCCAACUCUUUGGAAGGGGUGCAUUUAUUAGAUAAAAGGCUAGCGUGGGCUUUCUUGCUUCUCCGGUGAAUCAUGAUAAAUUGACGGAUCGCACAGCCCUUGUGUUGGCGAUGCUUCAUUCAAAUUUCUUCCCUAUCAACUUUCUAUGGUAGGAUAGAGGCCUACCAUGGUGAUGACGGGUAACAUAGAAUUAGGGUUUGAUUCCGGAGAGGGAGCCUGAGAAAUGGAUACCACAUCCAAGGAAGGCAGUAGGCGUGCAAAUUACCCCAUUCUAACAUGGGCAGGUAGUGACAAUAAAUAAAAAUACUAGGUUCAUCGAGUAUGUUAAUUGGAAUGAGUACAAUCUAAAUCCCUUAACAAGGAUCCAUUGGAGGGAAAGUCUAGUGCCAGCAGCUACGGUAAUUCCAAUUCCAAUAGCAUAUAUUUAGGUUGUUGCAGUUAAAAAUAUCGUAGUUGGAUCUUGGGUCAUAAAGGUCAGUCCACCUACUCAGUGUGCACCUAUCCUUAUGUCCCUUUUGUCGGCGGCAUGCUUCUGGCCUUAAUUGGCUAGGUCGCAGUUACGACGUUGUUACUUUGAAAAAAUUAGAGUGCUCAAAGCAAACUUAUGCUAUGAAUACAUUUUCAUGGAAUAAUGUGAUAUGAGUCUGGUCUUAUUGUGUUGGCCUUCAGGACCAGAGUAAUAAUUAAUAGGGACUGUCGGGGGCAUUCAUAUUUCAUUGUCAGAGGUGAAAUUAUUGGAUUUAUGAAAUAUGAACCACUGUGAAAUCAUUUGCCAAGGAUGUUUUCAUUAAUCAAGAAUGAAAGUUUAGGGCUCGAAGACGAUUGGAUACCAUCCUAGUCUCAACCAUAAACGAUGUCAACCAAGGAUCGGUGGAUGUUUCUCUAAGGACUCCAUCGACACCUUCUGAGAAAUCAAAGUGUUUGGGUUUCAGGGGCAGUAUGGUCGCAAGGCUAAAACUUAAAGGAAUUGACAGAAGGGAACCACCAGGAGUGGAUCCUGUGGCUUAAUUUGAAUCAACAUGGGAAAACUUACCAGGUCUAGACAUAGUAAAUAUUGACAAAUUUAGAGCAUUUUCUUGAUUCUAUGGUUGGUGGUGCAUGGUCGUUCUUAGUUGGUGGAGCGAUUUUUCUGGUUAAUUUUGAUAACGAACAAGACCUUAGCCUGCUAACUAGCUACGUGGAGGUUCCCCUUCACGGCCAUCUUCUUAGAGGGACUAUGGCCAUUUAGGCCAUGGAAGUUUGAGGAAAUAAUACAUCUGUGAUGCCCUUAGAUGUUUUGGGCUGCACGCAUGCUAAGCUGAUGUAGUCAACGAGUGUUUCUCCCUGGUUCGAGAGGAUCGAGAAAUCUUCUCAAAUUGCAUCAUGAUGGGGAUAGACCAUUGAAAGUAUUGGUCUUCAACAAAGAAUUCCUAGUAAACGUGUGUCAUCAUCUCAUGUUGACUACAUCCCUACCCUUUGUACACACCACCCAUCGCUCCUACCAAUUGAAUGAUCAAGGGAAUUUUUCGGAUCACAUCAACGAGGGUGGUUCGUCGCCGAUGAUAUCAUGAGAAGUUCACUGAACCUUAUCAUUUAGAGGAAGGAGAAGUCGUAACAAGGUUACUAUAGGUGAACCUAUGGUAGGAUCAUUG